GACGAACGCUGGCGGCGUGCCUAAUACAUGCAAGUCGAGCGCAGGAAACUGACGGAACUCUUCGGAGGGAAGGCAGUGGAAUGAGCGGCGGACGGGUGAGUAACACGUAAGGAACCUGCCUCAAGGAUUGGGAUAACUCCGAGAAAUCGGAGCUAAUACCGGAUAGUUCAACGGACCGCAUGGUCCGCUGAUGAAAGGCGCUCCGGCGUCACCUUGAGAUGGCCUUGCGGUGCGUUAGCUAGUUGGUGGGGUAACGGCCCACCAAGGCGACGAUGCAUAGCCGACCUGAGAGGGUGAUCGGCCACCCUGGGACUGAGAUACGGCCCAGACUCCUACGGGAGGCAGCAGUAGGGAAUCUUCCACAAUGGACGAAAGUCUGAUGGAGCAACGCCGCGUGAGUGAUGAAGGUUUUCGGAUCGUAAAACUCUGUUGUAAGGGAAGAACACGUACGAGAGGGAAUGCUCGUACCUUGACGGUACCUUACGAGAAAGCCACGGCUAACUACGUGCCAGCCGCCGCAGUAACAC
rnacentral:rRNA from 1 species